rnacentral:rRNA from 1 species
UACGAAGGGGGGCUAGCGUUGCUCGGAAUCACUGGGCGUAAAGGGCGCGUAGGCGGCGUUUUUAAGUCGGGGGGUGAAAGCCUGUGGCUCAACCACAGAAUGGCCUUCGAUACUGGGACGCUUGAGUAUGGUAGAGGUUGGUGGAACUGCGAGUGUAGAGGUGAAAAUUCGUAGAUAUUCGCAAGAACACCGGUGGCGAAGGCGGCCAACUGGACCAUUACUGACGCUGAGGCGCGAAAGCGUGGGGAGCAAACAGG